UUGAAAGGGAAACGAUUGAAGUCAGUCAUGCUCGCAGGGAAUCAACAUGGUGGUUUUCUUCCUUGUGCACUUCCUUGCCUGGCAGGUUAGCAUUAAUUUUGAUUGUCAUUAAAGAACCGGGGGAAUGUAGCUUCUUCGGGAGUGUUAUAGACCUUGGUAGAUGUGACGAUUGAGAUUGAGGAUUGCAGCGAAUGCUUCUUGGCUAGUCACUUGGCUUCUGACGGUCACCUUGCUUUCGAUAGCUUGCUAACGUUGGUGAGAUUUGAUUGUCUAGAUGUUAAUGUGAUCAUAAAUUCGCUAAGGAUGCUGACGUAAUGGCUUUAAACGACCCGUCUUGAAACACGGACCA
rnacentral:rRNA from 1 species